rnacentral:rRNA from 1 species
UACAGAGGGGGCAAGCGUUAUUCGGAAUUAUUGGGCGUAAAGGGCGCGUAGGCGGCGAUUCAAGUGACGGGUGAAAUCCCUCGGCUUAACCGAGGAACUGCCUGUCAGACUGGAUUGCUUGAGUCUGGGAGAGGCGAGUGGAAUUCCCAGUGUAGCGGUGAAAUGCUUAGAGAUUACAUGGAAUACCAAUUGCGAAGGCAGGUUACUACUAAUGGAUUGACGCUGAUGGACGAAAGCGUGGGUAGCGAACAGG